rnacentral:misc_RNA from 1 species
CCAAUAGCGUAUAUUAAAGUUGCUGCAGUUAAAAAGCUCGUAGUUGAAUUUCGGGACCAAUAUGUCGGUCGUGCUUUUGUACGUACUGAUAUAAUUGGUUUCUCCCUUCUGAAGAACCUUGAUGUCAUUAAUUUGGUGUCUUGGGGAAUCAGGACUGUUACUUUGAAAAAAUUAGAGUGUUUAAAGCAGGCUCGCGCUUGAAUACAUUAGCAUGGAAUAAUGAAAUAGGACGUUUGAUUCUAUUUUGUUGGUUUCUAGGAUCGACGUAAUGAUUAAUAGGGAUAGUUGGGGGCAUUAGUAUUCAAUUGUCAGAGGUGAAAUUCUUGGAUUUAUUGAAGACUAACUACUGCGAAAGCAUUUGCCAAGGAUGUUUUCAUUAAUCAAGAACGAAAGUUAUGGGAUCGAAGACGAUCAGAUACCGUCGUAGUCUUAACCAUAAACUAUGCCGACUAGGGAUCGGAUGAUGUUAAUUUUUUAAUGACUCAUUCGGCGCCUUACG